UUCUGCAUUUCUAACAAAUUCCUGGUUCGCAGAACAUACUUUGCUACUGAGACAAUGAGUUUGCCACAAGUGGACUACCUCCAACUUGUGAGUUGACUCUUACACAAUUGUCUCUCUGUAUUUUGUAAAGGACCAGUUAAAAUACAUGUGUCAUAUAUGUGUGUGUGUGUGUGUGUGUGUAUAUGUGUGUGUAUUUUUAUUUUAAGCAGAG